rnacentral:rRNA from 1 species
UACGUAGGGUGCAAGCGUUGUCCGGAAUUAUUGGGCGUAAAGAGCGUGUAGGCGGCCCCAUUAGUCCGCUGUGAAAGUCCAGGGCUCAACCUCGAGCUGUCGGUGGAAACCGUGUGGCUAGAGUCCGGAAGAGGAGAGUGGAAUUCCCGGUGUAGCGGUGAAAUGCGCAGAUAUCGGGAAGAACACCCGUGGCGAAGGCGGCUCUCUGGGACGGUACUGACGCUGAGACGCGAAAGCGUGGGGAGCGAACAGG